rnacentral:rRNA from 1 species
GACGAACGCUGGCGGCGUGCCUAAUACAUGCAAGUAGAACGCUGAAGAGAGGAGCUUGCUCUUCUUGGAUGAGUUGCGAACGGGUGAGUAACGCGUAGGUAACCUGCCUUGUAGCGGGGGAUAACUAUUGGAAACGAUAGCUAAUACCGCAUAACAAUGGAUGACCCAUGUCAUUUAUUUGAAAGGGGCAAAUGCUCCACUACAAGAUGGACCUGCGUUGUAUUAGCUAGUAGGUGAGGUAACGGCUCACCUAGGCGACGAUACAUAGCCGACCUGAGAGGGUGAUCGGCCAAACUGGGACGGAGACACGGCCCAGACUCCUACGGGAGGCAGCAGUAGGGAAUCUUCGGCAAUGGGGGCAACCCUGACCGAGCAACGCCGCGUGAGUGAAGAAGGUUUUCGGAUCGUAAAGCUCUGUUGUAAGUCAAGAACGAGUGUGAGAGUGGAAAGUUCACACUGUGACGGUAGCUUACCAGAAAGGGACGGCUAACUACGUG